rnacentral:misc_RNA from 1 species
AGCUAGCUAGAACACGUAAGCUUCAAAAUAUAUUUUUGAAAUGAGUAGAAAUAGAUAUAUACAACAGUUAAGGUGGUAUUGCAGCAUUACUUUGAUUUUCUAGCUUGGUACAAUUUAUAGGAGAUUGAUCUUAUUACCUGGAUGACUUUCCACAAAAUCAAUGGCAUAUUAAAUUAUGUGCUUUGUCUCAUCCAACAAAUGGAAUUGAUUUUCUCAUUAUGCAAAUUUUCUUCAGCUGUGAUUGCAGUUAUGCUGCGUGAAGAAAACACGUUAAUAAGAGAUGUAUACCAUGUACAAAAUUGUGAAAAUUAAAUCUUAUCUAGAUAU